GGGGGUCUAGCAAUCUGGUGAAUGCAGCGGGCUCAUAAUCCGCCUGAGCCGAGUUCGAUCCUCGGGACCCCCAUCA
rnacentral:tRNA from 1 species